AGAGAAAGCUCCUCUGGGUGCUUCCUCUGCUGCAGGAUGUGGUUGGGAAACCACACAAACGAGAUAAAAAAGUCAGGUUUGUUAAAGGUCACCAGCAGCCAAUUCUUAUCCCGUCUCACUCUGGCUUUCCCUUAUUGGCUGCUAGUGGUAAUCAUGACCUUUUCUCCACUCUCUCUCUCACACACACACACACACACACACACACAUAUAAAAUGAAGACAUUGACAGGCACACACCAGUGCAUACACACAUUCAGCCCCACACACAUGCAAACAAAUUCACACAAUCCUCCAGUCAAUGAUGAUGUAUCUCUUUUGCAGGGGGAGCGAGGCAGAGACGGAGAUCUCGGGAGUCCCGGCAUGCCGGGCGAAGUGGGACCCAGGGGAUGGAAAGGAGAGAAAGGAGUGACAGGUGAUAUGGGCCCCAGAGGACCCGAUGGAAAGAAGGGUGACAUGGGCCACAUGGGUGUCAUUGGUCCCAGGGGAUUUCCGGGACAGGAUGGGUCGCCAGGCCACCCAGGCCAACCGGGCCAACCGGGAUAUCCUGGCAAACCUGUAAGUGUACCUCCUUUCCUAUCUGAUGCUAACAACCAUAGCAGUGAGAAUGAAAAAAGGACUGUUGGAUGUUGAAUGUUGGAGAAAAG
rnacentral:lncRNA from 1 species